GGCUCCGUAGCUUGGAGGAAAAGAAGCAUCCGUCUGGGGAAUCGGGAGACGUAGGUUCGAUUCCCACCGGAGCAC
rfam:Aedes albopictus isolate Foshan contig119291, whole genome shotgun sequence.